GCUAACUCCGUGCCAGCAGCCGCGGUAAUACGGAGGGGGCAAGCGUUGUUCGGAUUUACUGGGCGUAAAGGGCGCGUAGGUGGAUGUUCAUGUCAGAGGUGAAAGCCCCGGGCUCAACCUGGGAAUUGCCUUUGAAACGGGGCAUCUGGAGUUCGGAAGAGGGUAGCGGAAUUCCCAGUGUAGAGGUGAAAUUCGUAGAUAUUGGGAAGAACACCAGUGGCGAAGGCGGCUACCUGGUCCGACACUGACACUGAGGCGCGAAAGCGUGGGGAGCAAACAGGAUUAGAUACCCUUGUAGUC
rnacentral:rRNA from 1 species